GACGAACGCUGGCGGCGUGCUUAACACAUGCAAGUCGAACGGAAAGGCCCUGCUUUUGUGGGGUGCUCGAGUGGCGAACGGGUGAGUAACACGUGAGUAACCUGCCCUUGACUUUGGGAUAACUUCAGGAAACUGGGGCUAAUACCGGAUAGGAGCUCCUGCUGCAUGGUGGGGGUUGGAAAGUUUCGGCGGUUGGGGAUGGACUCGCGGCUUAUCAGCUUGUUGGUGGGGUAGUGGCUUACCAAGGCUUUGACGGGUGGCCGGCCUGAGAGGGUGACCGGCCACAUUGGGACUGAGAUACGGGCCAGACUGCUACGGGAGGCAGCAGUGGGGGUUAUUGCACAAUGGGCGGAAGCAGGAUGCAGCAACGCCGCGUGCGGGAUGACGGCCUUCGGGUUGUAAACCGCUUUCGCCUGUGACGAAGAGUGAGUGACGGUAAUGGGUAAAGAAGCACCGGCUAACUACGUG
rnacentral:rRNA from 1 species